rnacentral:rRNA from 1 species
UGGGGAAUAUUGGGCAAUGGGCGCAAGCCUGACCCAGCAACGCCGCGUGAAGGAAGAAGGCUUUCGGGUUGUAAAACUUCUUUUCUCAGGGACGAAGCAAGUGACGGUACCUGAGGAAUAAGCCACGGCUAACUACGUGCC